CUCCAUAAUCACCAUAACAACUGAGUAUUAUUUCUAAAGCAUACAACCAUAUACACAAUAGCAAAACAUCUACUUGCCAUAAUCAUCAUCAACAAUCUUUAGAACAUACACACAAGAACUUACCACGGCGUCCCAUACAGCCGGGAAGUACACGAAAGAGAGCAAAACAAAGAACUCAUUACGGCGUUCCGUGCCACCGGAGAGUACACAAAAGAAUACAACCAAUAAUACCAUAAAGCACAACUACUCCAUCAAUUUAUCAAAAACCACAGGUAGCACACCCCCGCCAUGACUCAUUACCGAAAUCCACUUCCAAGUACCCAUACCAUAAUUCAACAUAAAGAAAGCAACAU
rnacentral:lncRNA from 1 species